rnacentral:lncRNA from 1 species
AAGAAGGCAAGGAGAUAUACCAUGAGACUUCAUCCCAGGUAUUCUUCUUUGAUCCUUCCAGCAGAAAAGGAGAGUUUUCACUCUAUUAUAGAUGCAGCUAGGAAGAUGGAAGCUAGUGCUAAUAGUCAGAAACAGUCAAAGGCACAGGCUUCGGGUUCUAAGGCCCCCAGUUCAGGUUCAACAGGCAGUAAGAGAUGGGAUAGAGCGAGAGGAACAA